rnacentral:lncRNA from 1 species
GUUCCAUCUGUGCUUAUACAAUAUACUAACCUGGGAUUGGCCUGCUGGCUCCAAAGAUUGCAGCCUUGCACGGGUCUUCUCUGCACAAGCCUUAACAUCUUCCUUUGUUUGGAAAAACGGAUCUAUAUAAUUACCAUAAACAGAAACCAUGACAUUUUUAUUUGCCAGGAAAGAAAUCGUGUAACUUCAACAAAAUCAAUACAAUAGAAAGAUUUCAACUAUCCACACACACUACCUUACCGCCACCAGCUUCGGCUACAUGACAACCGACAGAACGCUGCUCUGCAGCUAGUUUUGCUUCCAAAUUUUGCAUCUUAUUUUUAUUCGACUCGUUCUCGGCUUUCAGUGCUUCGUUCUCCCGUUUACUCUUGGACAACUCUUCGCGAAGGGCCACGGCGCUGCCCUCUACAAGUCUGACUAUUUCCACGACCGCUGCCCUCAUUACCGCGUUCAUGAGAGAGGUUAGCUGACUUUGAAGCCUCACAGAUAGGCUAACCAAAUUCAAACCAACUGCCACGGUCGCACACCUGCCGGCUGAAGCUAAUUGGCGAAAGAAGUUGGAAAGCUUGCUAGCUAGUCUAAGCUACUUCAAGACAACACCUGGUUACACGUUAUCUAGAAAGAACCUGAGCCCUAGGACCAUGCCUCAGGACUACCUGGCCUGAUGACUCCUUGCUGUCCCCAGUCCACCUGGUCGUGCUGCUGCUCCAGUUUCAACUGUUCUGCCUGCAGCUAUGGAACCCUGACCUGUUCACCGGACGUGCUACCUUGUCCCAGACCUCCUGUUUUCACCUCUCCCUCUCUCUACCGCACCUGCUAUUUCAACCUCUGAAUGCCCAGCUAUGAAAAGUCAAGUGACAUUUACUGUUAAUAUACUGACCUGUUGCACCCUCUACAACCACUGUGAUUAUUAUCUGACCCUGCUGGUCAUCUAUGAACGUUUGAACAUUUUGGAGAACAAUCUGGCCUUAAUGACUAUGUACUGUUAUAAUCGCCACCCGGCACAGACAAAAGAGGACUGGCCACCCCUCAGAGCCUGGUUCCUCUCUAGGUUUUUUCCUAGGUUCCUGCCUUUCUAGGGAGUUUUUCCUAGCCAACGUGCUUCUGCAUUUCUUGCUAUUUGGGGUUUUAGGUAGGGUUUCUGUAUAGCACUUUGUGACAUCUGCUGAUAUAUAAAAAAGGGCUUAAUAAAUACAUUUGAUUGAUUACGCAGCGCGAUUGACCAAUUGAAGCUCACUAUAGCUUCUAGACCCUAAUGGAUUGGCUGUUGAUGCCUAGCAUGCUUGAUAGCACCCACACGAGUGCUUAGCCAGCUUGGCAAGGCAAAAUACAAGUGCUAGUUAAUCGCCCCCGUCAGGCGUGAGCUGCACAUCGAUUUUAUUAAACAUGCUGCUCACUCGUCCAGUGUAGCAGCUCUGUAGGAACCGCUUCUUGCCAUAAUGAUGCUCUUGGUUUUUAUCUCCACCCUCAGGUCUACAAGGGCAUCUUCCCAUGUGCCUUCGCACAUCUUGCCAAAUGAACAUACCUUUACAGUAAAGACAAGGUUCAAAUCUCUUCGCGCCACUAUUCGGUUUGGGUUUCCUUUUUACUUUGAGACAGCCGGAUCCCUUGUUUACGACGUUAGUGUUGUGUUGGAAAUUUCCCUUGUUCCUCAGUUUCUCCAGCAACACUUUCCGCUGUCUUGAAGCUAUGUCAAGACUUAAGACAUAAGCAAUUUCAGCAUUUUCCUUCUCAUGCUGUUUCAAGUGGCGGGAGAUCUUUGAUUGAGGCUCUCCACAUACAAAACAGUAAUUUACAUUGCCUUUACAAGGGCCAUUUUUUCUCCCUCUCUUCUUUCUUCCGGAGUUGUUCAUGUUGUCAAAGUCCUUGGACUUGUCUAAUUGGGUGUCCAUGACAGCUGCUGCACCUGGUAGCUUCACACAUUUCUGGACCAUGAUGUUGACUGGUGAAGUCAAGAAGUGGUUUUCUUCAAAGUUCAAACAACUUUCUGGUUUAAAACUUCCAAAUGCACAACUUUUCUCCACAUCACAGGACUCAGUGGUGUUCUGGUGCUGUGGAAAGACCAAGAGGUACGUUUGUCACACUGUCUACACAUUUCCAUAUACUGAAGUUGUACCUGAUACAACGCAUUUGAGCCCAACACUGCACCUUUCCAUUAAUUACCUCAUACUAAUAACUGCACUAUACUGCAUUUGCACUAUGUACACAACACUGUAUGUGUGUGUAAUGGUAGCAUCCCUUCCCUCUGCAUAUAAAGAUAUCCAUCCCCUCUGUAAAUUGUAUAUCCUCACUGUAAAUCAGCUUUACGUUUACUGUAUAUUCUGUAUGUCGACUGUCUGUAUUCUGUUUGUACAUUGUCCAUUGCUGGCAGCACCUAUUCACUAAGUCAAAUUCCAGGUAUAUGUAAAUGUACUUGAUUCUGAUGGAGUAAUCAGCCUCACUCUCAGGGCUUGACUGAUCAGAAGCAUCAUUUUUCCUCUCACACUGAGUGCAACAAGCAGCUAUUUUAUACCACAAAUAAUUGAAAGAGGUCCAUUUUGAUGUACCUGGGUACCAGCAUCUGAUGAGUCAGCAGGUUCAUCUUCUAUGACCGACUUCUUUACACAAACACUCCGCCUUUUCUGAGCCGAAACAGUCUUGACCUGUGUGUUUGACAUAUUACAUGUUACAGCUUUCAUUUGUUACUUUUUUCAUGGCAUAUGCCGAUGCGUCUCUGUAGUGGUAGCACAAUCGCAUAAACACAUUCUCUCUCACGGUACUAAAUGAAUAAAACAUAAGAGGCACUAAGGAUUGUGAGGUGUAUAUAUAUUUAUUUUCAUAAACUUCUAAUACAGUUGAUUUAAUUUAACCUUUAUUUAAACAGGGAGUCAUGCUGAUACCAUGGUCUCUUUUGCAGGUGAGCCCUGCAUGAUAACAUCAAUUACACUACACACACACACAUCAAUAUACACAAUACACACAUCAAUAUACACAAUACACACCAAUUUAAAAAGCUAACAAAACCGUAUGUGGUUACCUCAUACAAGACAUUAGCCAAGUUACAUACCAUUGUUAUAACACCAAACCCAUCCAUCCCCUUAUGAAAUAUAUGAAAAGCAUUGAUCUGAAUAGUUCGCUUCAAAAAGUUUGAAUAUUCAGAAAAUGUAAAUACUAAAGAUAUGAACUGCCAACACCAACUUCAGAGAACACAGCACAAUGGCAUCCAGUUACAUGCUGCAUGCAGAUUCUCCUAACAUCACACCGGACACCAGUCAACACGGAAUGUUACACAUCUUCCUUAACUUCAACACACAGACAUGAGGAAUUCUCAUUCAUGUAAAAACACUGUCCUAACAGUAGAGGACUCCUGCAAUAUCUUCACUACCUCUUUGACGUGAUUCUAUUUCCUGCCAACCGCCGGAGCCAACAACGGGCCCAAUUUGUGCUGAUUAGGAUAUGACCGCCAUUCUCUGCCAGCAUCUCCGGGUUUCUGCGCAUCACAAUGUCUCGCGUGGCUACCAUCAGCAUGGACGGGCUAACCUGACCUCCAGCUCUUCUCCUCACCAUUACGAAGCGAGUAAUCUCCUCAUCAAACAUGUCUGUUCUGAAUGGCCUCAAAUGGGGUAGGUCUUCCACUUUCUGGACGCCCAUGCUUUCGACCGUCUGUUCGUAGCUGAUCCUCAUGGACCUCACAGUGUUGGGGCUGAUGCGUCUUCCCAAUUCCUCAGACAUCAUGGCUGCGGCCAUCUGUGCACCCACCUCCAUGCACAUCCGCGCAAUCUUGGCCCUUUGCUCGGGGGUGUACCUGAGGUAGGUCCCUCUCCUUUGCGGAUGCGGUUGAGUUCUUACUCUUCGGCGCCGGCGCAGAUUUCGUAAGUCCACAGAGCUUGACUGCCCAGGUGUAAGCCACUGUGGAGAGAGAGCUAUGUUUUUCAAUCAGCGUGUUAGAAAUAAAACAAAUAAAGAGAAUGUGUGUCAGUACCGGAGCUGAGCUACAGAUCCGUGCUAUCCGGGAUCCCUGGGACAUCCCUUCCCCAUUGAAGUUUAACUUUAAAAAUGGUUAGGGUUAUGGUUAAUGUGCACCAAUCUGGAUUUAGACCUGGACAUAGAACAGUUUCAGCUGCUACUCUUGUUUUAGAUGUGUUAAAUUGCUUAGAUCAUAAAAACCAUUGUGCUGCCUUAUUUAUAGACCGUUCGAAAGCCUUUGACACGGUUGACCAUCACAAUUUAAUUCAGAGGUUGACUAAAAUAGGCCUGUAUCUGGCUUCUUGCAAGUGGUUUGAGAAUUGUCAGACAGAACAUUGUGAUUUCUGAUGGUGUUAUGUCUAAGUUCCUGGAUAUUAACGAAGGUGUACUACAGGGUUCGGUACUGGGACAUGUUCUCUUUACUAUUUAUAGAAAUAAUAUUGGUCUGUUAACUUGUAAUAUUAAUCUGCAUGCAGACUAUGCUGUAAUGUAUGUCAUUGCCCCAACUGUAGACCAGGCGUUGUUAGAGCUGCAAUCUGACUUUGUUGCCUCACGAAAUGCCCUGGUUGGCCAAGAUUAAAUAUAUGUUGUUCUCUAAUUCUUGCAACAACAACAAAAAAAUCUGAUGGACUACAUACAGUGUACAAAACAUUAGGAACACCUUAAUAUUGAGUUGCACCCACCCACCCCUUUUGCCCUAAGAACAGCCUCAGUUUGUCAGGGCAUGGGCUCUACAAGGUCUCAAAAGUGUUCCACAGGAAUGCUGGCCCAUGUUGACUCCAAUACUUCCCACAGUUGGGUCAAGUUGGCUGGAUGUCCUUUGGGUGGUGGACCAUUCUUGAUACACACGGGAAACUGUUGAGCAUGAAAAACCCAGCAGCGUUGCAGUUCUUGACACACAAACGGGUGUGCCUGGCAUGUACUACCAUGCCCCGUUCAAAGGCACUUAAAUAUUUUGUCUUGCCCAUUCACCCUCUGAAUGGCAAACACACACAAUCCAUGUCUCAAUUGUCUGAAGGCUUAAAAAUCCUUCUUUAACCUGUCUCCUCCCCUUCAUCUACACUGAUUGAAGUGGAUUUAACCGGUGACAUCAAUAAAGGAUCAUAGCUUUCACCUGGAUUCACCUGGUGAGUCUGUCAUGGAAAGAGCAGGUGUUCGUAAUGUUUUGUACACUCAAUUUAUUUAUUAAUUGAAUGGUUCUCCCAUUGAUCAGGUUCCCACCUAUAAAAAUCUGGGCUUUUGGAUUGACUAGGAUUUAAAGUUUUAAAAAAACAUACUGAUGGGCUAGUUAAUUAAAAAGCUAAGAAUUAAAGUGAGCUUAUUUUUUUAGAAAUAGAUCUUGCCUUUCCCUAAACAGCAGGAAGCAGAUUGUACAGUUAACUUUUUAUUAAAGAAUAAUAACAAAAUUAGGGUAGGGAUGUCCCAAGGAUCCCGGAUAGCACUGCCCCUGAGCCAUAGGGCAGACUGAGCAUCUACCAUCCCACUAUCAGAUUAGGGGUGUGGGCAAUUUAUGCUUUUUGUCCCCCCACUUUUUAAAUCUGAAAUCACCAUCACCCAUUGAUUAACUUCUAAUUUUUACAGAUAAAAAAAUAUUGUGAGCUAGUCCUAUGACAAUAUUUAUCUUUAGAAAUUAGCCUGGCAUUUAGCCAAUUAAUAUAACAAAGCUUUUGGAUUUUACGGGGUCUCAAACUCGAAUGGUUAGACCGUUUGGAAUUUUAUACUUUGACCAAUGAAUGAGACCAUGCACAGCUCCAAAAAAUGUUGCCGUCUUACCCAGUUCAGGUAAAAAUGACUAGGCCACACAACUCCGGUAAAACACCAUUUUCUACAGUGCAUUUGAUAACAAUUAGUCGAGUUACAAUUAGUUUAGUGACAAGCAAAUUACAUUGCUUGUCACUCAACUAAUAAAGCCUAUGAUUUGACAUUGUGAAAGACAUUUUAU